rnacentral:rRNA from 1 species
GAUUGAACGCUGGCGGCAUGAUUUACACAUGCAAGUCGAACGGUAACAGGCCGCGAGGUGCUGACGAGUGGCGAACGGGUGAGUAAUGCAUCGGAACGUGCCCAGUCGUGGGGGAUAACUACUCGAAAGAGUAGCUAAUACCGCAUACGAUCUAUGGAUGAAAGCGGGGGACCGUAAGGCCUCGCGCGAUUGGAGCGGCCGAUGUCAGAUUAGGUAGUUGGUGGGGUAAAGGCUCACCAAGCCAACGAUCUGUAGCUGGUCUGAGAGGACGACCAGCCACACUGGGACUGAGACACGGCCCAGACUCCUACGGGAGGCAGCAGUGGGGAAUUUUGGACAAUGGGCGCAAGCCUGAUCCAGCAAUGCCGCGUGCAGGAAGAAGGCCUUCGGGUUGUAAACUGCUUUUGUACGGAACGAAACGGCUCUGGUUAAUACCCGGGGCUAAUGACGGUACCGUAAGAAUAAGCACCGGCUAACUACGUG